GCAUUAAUGGGGUAGUGGUAACCUGGGUCGUUGCCAUGGGUGUCUGAUUAGUUCUGAUUUACUCGACCCGCCGGGGGUUCGAUUCCCUCUUAAUGCA